rnacentral:lncRNA from 1 species
CAAUAAUAGAGACAUUCAUUCACAAUUCUCAUCUAUCAUAUACUAUAUAAUAUUAUCGGUAGCAGGGAGGCUUUCGUGCUACUAAAUUAUUUUCAAUGAUAGGACAUUCGAAUCGACAAUCGGCUUCAUUAGAUAUGAUCUGCCCAAUCAGAAGUAUCUAGAAACCAAAUUUUAUUUUUUUUCUGCAUCAUUUGGCUAGUGAUCAAAAUGUGUCAAAAUUGACGAUUUGAAUGACUAAUGCGAUACAUUUGUAACUUCAAUGGUAUAAAAGAAUCCAAAUUUAGUAAAAUUUGGAUCGAAUUUUUUUUUUUUUUUACUACUUACAUCAAGAUCAAUAACUUUGACUUGAAAUUUAAGUCUGUUAUCAUUAUUUUUUAUGAGAUUUUUCUUUUGCAAUCGUUCAUUUUGAAGCUAUUUGUUUUAAAGAUAAAUGAUGUGGAAAAUUCAUGAAAAUUAGUUGCUAGAUGCUUCUAAUAAUAUAGAUUAUGUCUAAUAGAAUCAAUCGUCGAUUCAAAUGUCUAAUCAUAAAAAAUAAUUUGAAGCACGAAGUAUAUCGAUAGUACUCCAGACUAUAUAUGUGUGCGUGUGUGUGUAGAGCUCCUAUGUUAUCGAAAGUAUAGAGAAUUUAAUAUUUUCAACUUUUU